rnacentral:rRNA from 1 species
CGCUGACGAGCGGCGGACGGGUGAGUAACGCGUAGGAAUCUGCCUGAUAGUGGGGGAUAGCCCGGGGAAACCCGGAUUAAUACCGCAUACGCCCCAAGGGGGAAAGCAGGGGAUCUUCGGACCUUGCACUAUUGGAAGAGCCUGCGUUGGAUUAGCUAGUUGGUAGGGUAAAGGCCUACCAAGGCGACGAUCCAUAGCUGGUCUGAGAGGAUGAUCAGCCACACCGGAACUGAGACACGGACCAGACUCC